rnacentral:rRNA from 1 species
UGCAGUCGAACGCUUCUUUUUCCACCGGAGCUUGCUCCACCGGAAAAAGAGGAGUGGCGAACGGGUGAGUAACACGUGGGUAACCUGCCCAUCAGAAGGGGAUAACACUUGGAAACAGGUGCUAAUACCGUAUAACAAUCGAAACCGCAUGGUUUUGAUUUGAAAGGCGCUUUCGGGUGUCGCUGAUGGAUGGACCCGCGGUGCAUUAGCUAGUUGGUGAGGUAACGGCUCACCAAGGCGACGAUGCAUAGCCGACCUGAGAGGGUGAUCGGCCACAUUGGGACUGAGACACGGCCCAAACUCCUACGGGAGGCAGCAGUAGGGAAUCUUCGGCAAUGGACGAAAGUCUGACCGAGCAACGCCGCGUGAGUGAAGAAGGUUUUCGGAUCGUAAAACUCUGUUGUUAGAGAAGAACAAGGAUGAGAGUAACUGUUCAUCCCUUGACGGUAUCUAACCAGAAAGCCACGGCUAACUACGUGCCAGCAGCCGCGGUAAUACGUAGGUGGCAAGCGUUGUCCGGAUUUAUUGGGCGUAAAGCGAGCGCAGGCGGUUUCUUAAGUCUGAUGUGAAAGCCCCCNGGCUCAACCGGGGAGGGUCAUUGGAAACUGGGAGACUUGAGUGCAGAAGAGGAGAGUGGAAUUCCAUGUGUAGCGGUGAAAUGCGUAGAUAUAUGGAGGAACACCAGUGGCGAAGGCGGCUCUCUGGUCUGUAACUGACGCUGAGGCUCGAAAGCGUGGGGAGCAAACAGGAUUAGAUACCCUGGUAGUCCACGCCGUAAACGAUGAGUGCUAAGUGUUGGAGGGUUUCCGCCCUUCAGUGCUGCAGCUAACGCAUUAAGCACUCCGCCUGGGGAGUACGACCGCAAGGUUGAAACUCAAAGGAAUUGACGGGGGCCCGCACAAGCGGUGGAGCAUGUGGUUUAAUUCGAAGCAACGCGAAGAACCUUACCAGGUCUUGACAUCCUUUGACCACUCUAGAGAUAGAGCUUCCCCUUCGGGGGCAAAGUGACAGGUGGUGCAUGGUUGUCGUCAGCUCGUGUCGUGAGAUGUUGGGUUAAGUCCCGCAACGAGCGCAACCCUUAUUGUUAGUUGCCAUCAUUUAGUUGGGCACUCUAGCAAGACUGCCGGUGACAAACCGGAGGAAGGUGGGGAUGACGUCAAAUCAUCAUGCCCCUUAUGACCUGGGCUACACACGUGCUACAAUGGGAAGUACAACGAGUCGCAAAGUCGCGAGGCUAAGCUAAUCUCUUAAAGCUUCUCUCAGUUCGGAUUGUAGGCUGCAACUCGCCUACAUGAAGCCGGAAUCGCUAGUAAUCGCGGAUCAGCACGCCGCGGUGAAUACGUUCCCGGGCCUUGUACACACCGCCCGUCACACCACGAGAGUUUGUAACACCCGAAGUCGGUGAGGUAACCUUUUGGAGCCAGCC